rnacentral:rRNA from 1 species
CCUACGGGAGGCAGCAGUGGGGAAUAUUGCACAAUGGGGGAAACCCUGAUGCAGCGACGCCGCGUGAGUGAAGAAGUAAUUCGUUAUGUAAAGCUCUAUCAGCAGGGAAGAAAAUGACGGUACCUGAUUAAGAAGCCCCGGCUAACUACGUGCCAGCAGCCGCGGUAAUACGUAGGGGGCAAGCGUUAUCCGGAUUUACUGGGGGUAAAGGGAGCGUAGACGGCAGUGCAAGUCUGGAGUGAAAGGCGGGGGCUCAACCCCCGGACUGCUCUGGAAACUGUACGGCUGGAGUGCAGGAGAGGCAAGUGGAAUUCCUAGUGUAGCGGUGAAAUGCGUAGAUAUUAGGAGGAACACCAGUGGCGAAGGCGGAUUACUGGACUGUAACUGACGUUGAGGCGCGAAAGCGUGGGGAGCAAACAGGAUUAGAUACCCGUGUAGUC